CCUCGAUGUCGUGAGUCGGACACCCGUGCCGUCGCUAGAGCUUUUUCAAAGCUCGGCUUCUGGAUAUUGGGAAGAAAGACCGCUCGAGGACGACGGCUGCGCGUGCGUCCCAUCGAAUUUUUUUUUAUACCACCUGAACGACUAAAGUUUCGUCUAGUUCGUUGCCUACCGUCGCAUAUAAUCCCGUUCAGAGGGGACCGCAGGCUGUCUAUCCUCGUUGUCGUGAGUCGGACACCCGUGCCGUCGCUAGAGUUUUUUCAAAGCUCGGCUUCUGGAUAUUGGGAAGAAAGACCGCGCGAGGUAGAUGG
rnacentral:misc_RNA from 1 species